GAUGAACGCUGGCGGCGUGCCUAAUACAUGCAAGUCGAGCGAACGGACGAGAAGCUUGCUUUUCUGAUGUUAGCGGCGGACGGGUGAGUAACACGUGGAUAACCUACCUAUAAUACUGGGAUAACUUCGGGAAACCGGAGCUAAUACCGGAUAAUAUUUUGAACCGCAUGGUUCAAAAGUGAAAGACGGUCUUGCUGGCACUUAUAGAUGGAUCCGCGCUGCAUUAGCUAGUUGGUAAGGUAACAGCUUACCAAGGCAACGAUGCAUAGCCGACCUGAGAGGGUGAUCGGCCGCACUGGAACUGAGACACGGUCCAGACUCCUAAGGGAGGCAGCAGUAGGGAAUCUGCCGCAAUGGGCGAAAGCCUGACGGAGCAACGGCGAGUGAGUGAUGAAGGUCUUCGGAUCGUAAAACUCUGUUAUUAGGGAAGAACAUAUGUGUAAGUAACUGUGCACAUCUUGACGGUACCUAAUAAGAAAGCCACGGCUAACUACGUG
rnacentral:rRNA from 1 species